UAGUAACUCGCGAGUGAAGCGGGAAAAGCUCAAAUUUAAAAUCUGGCGGUCUUUGGCCGUCCGAGUUGUAGUCUGGAGAAGUGCUUUCCGCGCUGGACCGUGUAUAAGUCUCUUGGAACAGAGCGUCAUAGAGGGUGAGAAUCCCGUCUUUGACACGGACUACCAGUGCUUUGUGAUGCGCUCUCAAAGAGUCGAGUUGUUUGGGAAUGCAGCUCAAAAUGGGUGGUGAAUUCCAUCUAAAGCUAAAUAUUGGCGAGAGACCGAUAGCGAACAAGUACCGUGAGGGAAAGAUGAAAAGCACUUUGGAAAGAGAGUUAAACAGUACGUGAAAUUGCUGAAAGGGAAACGCUUGAAGUCAGUCGCGUCUGCCGGAACUCAGCCUUCCUUUUGGUUGGUGCAUUUUCUGGUAGACGGGUCAGCAUCGAUUUCGACCGUUGGAUAAGGGCUGGGGAAAUGUGGCACCUUCGGGUGUGUUAUAGUCUUCAGUCGCAUACAACGGUUGGGAUCGAGGAUCGCAGCGCGCCGCAAGGCAGGGGUUCGCCCACUUUCGCGCUUAGGAUGCUGGCAUAAUGGCUUUAAACGACCCGUCUUGAAACACGGACCAAGGAGUCUAACAAACCUGCGAGUGUUUGGGUGGAAAACCCGAGCGCGUAAUGAAAGUGAAAGUUGAGACCUCUGUCGUGGAGGGCAUCGACGCCCGGACCUGACGUUCUCUGACGGCUCCGCGGUAGAGCAUGUUUGUUGGGACCCGAAAGAUGGUGAACUAUGCCUGAAUAGGGUGAAGCCAGAGGAAACUCUGGUGGAGGCUCGUAGCGAUUCUGACGUGCAAAUCGAUCGUCAAAUUUGGGUAUAGGGGC
rnacentral:rRNA from 1 species